rnacentral:rRNA from 1 species
CCCUUAGACGUUCUGGGCCGCACGCGCGCUACACUGACGAAGGCAACGAGCUACUCUUCACCGAAAGGUGUGGGUAAUCUUUUGAAACUUCGUCGUGCUGGGGAUAGAUCCUUGCAAUUUUUGAUCUUAAACGAGGAAUUCCUAGUAAGCGCAAGUCAUCAACUUGCGUUGAUUACGUCCCUGCCCUUUGUACACACCGCCCGUCGCUACUACCGAUUGAAUGGUUUAGUGAGGCCUUCGGAUCCGCGACUCGUUUGUGGAGAAGUUGGACAAACUCANUNAUUUAANGGAAGUAAAANUCGUANCA